rnacentral:rRNA from 1 species
AUGACCACAGCCGGUGCGCGGGGUAGAUUUGGCCGGCCUCUUCCAGUUUUCCGUCCGCUCAGAUGCGACCGUGAUGUGCUUCUUCAUCACCGCCAUCAUCCUCUGCUGAGCCGAGCCGUCAGAAGUAGAGAGUCAAGCGGCUGGAGAGAGCGUUGCUGGAGAGGCAGACACAUCAAAUCUGAUGCUGCCCGCAGCUUUGUCUAUGCUGUUAUGAAGAUCAGCUUGGCCCUGAAGAAGUUAUUUGAGGAUGGCGUGGUUAAGCAUGAAGAUCUGUUCAUCACCUUUAAGCUAUGGUUCUGUGCACCUAAAGAUGUGCCAGAGGCAAUUGUCGCCACCCUUAAAGAGCUUUUACAGCACCUUCUGUGUGAUCUUGUCCGACCACCUCCUCCUGUACUAUCUCCUCAAUCGUGGUGA